AAAUAAGUGUGGCUCAGUGGUUUGCAUGUUUGACUAUAACUCUGGAGACCAGGGUUCGAUUCCCAGCUUGGUCA